rnacentral:lncRNA from 1 species
CAUCCCUGUGGUCACCAGGGGCUCCUGCUGGGGACCUGUCCUGCUGUGGAUGGGCAGAUCUGUUCAAGACACACAGAAGAGGGAAGGUACAUGACAAAAUCACUGUGGUAACAGACCUGAGGCAGCUGGAUGUUUCAGUGGAAAUCUGGGCUCGAAUCCUUGUUUCCCAGUCUGAUGAUGCAGAGGACUGUGCAGCAGAAAUGAGGAAAAUCAGUCUCCUUCCAGAAACCCAGGGCAUCUCCUCUCCCCACUGUGAGCCACCUGCAUCACCUCAGGGUGGCUCUUGAGCAGGGUUUGUACGUGAGCAGUAGGAUAAGGUGGCUUUCCCACGCUGCAGCAGCUACUCCCAGCUUUCUGGCUCCAUCUUCUGGAAAUGAGACAAAGUAGAGAUUUCUCAAAGCCUGAGAUUGUACAAUCAGUUUAUAACAAUGCCCUGCAAAUGUGGG